AGGACCUAGAGGGCCACAUGUGGCCUUGAGCCACAGGUUACUCAUCCCUGGUUUAAAGAAAAGAAGAAAUGUUUAUUUUGAUACAAGGAAACCUACUCUUAAAUGUUGGCUCUGAUUCUCACAGAGAGAAGAGGAUCAUUUCCUGGCCAUCUCCAUAUCAUAUUGCAUACAUUCCAGUGAUCAUCCUCUUCCCACUCCAGCCAGAACAUUAUACGUUACAGCUAAUUCUCCAAGUUCUGAUAGUCCUGACAGAUUCUCAAGAGGACAAGUUAUAUGUUCAGGGCACCACUUUCCCCUAAUUUGAGGACAACCAAUCAACCAAUCAGCCAAGAUCUAUUAAGUAUCUCUUAUGUUGCUAGACCUCUGCAAGGUACUCUGAGGGAUAAACAAGACUUAGAAGAUCUAAUUAUUCUCAUUAAGAACUUUACACUAUUUGGAAGCCCCUAUUUGAAAAGGGCACAUAGGAACCUUGAUCAGAGCUGGAAGACGCUCUAAAGCUCAUAUAGCAAAUCUGUCUCAUUUUGCUGGAAAUUGAGACCCAAAGAGCCUAAGUGACUGGCCAAGAGUUGUAAGGGUAGUAAAUAACAGAGCCAGGAUGCUACCCUAAAUUCUAUUCAUGAAUGUCUUGAAGUUAUGAAGUGCUCACUCAUCCCAAUUUCCUGUUGUAUAAUUAAGUAUUCAUUCGGCACAAAAAAUCUACUCUCUUCGGCUGGCAGAUUUUCGUCACUUGGCACCCCUAGACAAAUUGCCAAAUGUCGUCUUUGUCAGUUGCCAUAAACUAUUUAUCAUCUGUGAGAAAUCAGGAGAGCUAGAAAGAUAGCUUUCCUGUUUAUGAAUCCUGGUUUACUCAAUUCUGUCUUUUGCCACCUCCCCAGACAGCAGAAAGGGGAAGUAAGAUUUUGAAGAAAGAUAAGA